CUAGUAAGUCCAAUCUCCUAGAUGUAAGUGCUUCCCUGAAGGCCAGCUUUUUGGGGGGGCUGGUGGAGGUGG